GCACAAAACAGAAAAGGGAACGGAAGAAAACAGUGUCAUUCAGCAGCAUGCCAACAGAGAAGAAGAUCAGCAGUGCAAGUGAUUGUAUCAACUCAAUGGUGGAGGGAUCAGAACUCAAAAAAGUUCGCUCCAACUCUAGAAUUUACCACAGAUACUUUUUGCUGGAUGCCGACAUGCAGAGCUUGAGGUGGGAGCCAUCUAAGAAGGAUUCUGAGAAAGCCAAGAUUGAUAUUAAAUCCAUCAAGGAAGUGAGAACAGGAAAAAACACAGACAUAUUCCGCAGCAAUGGCAUUUCUGACCAGAUAUCUGAAGACUGUGCAUUUUCAGUCAUAUAUGGAGAGAAUUAUGAGUCACUUGAUUUGGUUGCCAACUCUGCAGAUGUUGCAAACAUCUGGGUUACGGGACUCCGGUACCUAAUUUCUUAUGGAAAGCAUACACUCGAUAUGUUAGAAAGUAGCCAAGACAACAUGAGGACUUCUUGGGUUUCGCAAAUGUUUAGUGAAAUUGAUGUAGAUAACCUUGGACAUAUAACUCUGUGUAAUGCUGUACAGUGUAUCAGAAACCUCAAUCCUGGUUUAAAAACAAGCAAAAUUGAGCUUAAGUUCAAAGAAUUGCACAAAUCAAAGGACAAAGCUGGCACUGAAGUCACAAAGGAAGAAUUUAUUGAGGUUUUCCAUGAGCUUUGUACCAGACCUGAAAUUUACUUCCUUUUAGUUCAGUUUUCAAGCAAUAAAGAAUUCCUUGAUACCAAGGAUCUUAUGAUGUUUCUUGAGGCAGAACAGGGUGUGGCACAUAUCAAUGAGGAAAUAAGCCUUGAAAUUAUUCAUAAAUAUGAGCCAUCUAAAGAGGGCCAGGAAAAGGGCUGGCUCUCCAUAGACGGGUUCACUAAUUAUCUUAUGUCACCUGACUGUUAUAUAUUUGAUCCAGAACAUAAGAAAGUCUGUCAGGAUAUGAAGCAACCCCUUUCUCAUUACUUUAUAAACUCAUCUCAUAAUACAUACUUAAUAGAAGAUCAGUUCCGAGGCCCCUCUGACAUCACAGGGUACAUAAGAGCUCUGAAAAUGGGUUGCCGGAGUGUUGAAUUAGAUGUAUGGGAUGGGCCAGAUAACGAACCUGUCAUUUACACAGGCCACACCAUGACCUCUCAGAUUGUUUUCCGCAGUGUCAUUGAUAUUAUUAACAAGUAUGCAUUCUUUGCUUCAGAGUAUCCUCUUAUCUUGUGUUUAGAAAAUCACUGUUCUAUUAGACAACAGAAGGUAAUGGUUCAACACAUGAAGAAAAUUUUAGGAGAUAAGCUAUAUACAACAUCACCUAAUGUGGAGGAAUCUUAUCUACCGUCCCCAGAUGUCCUGAAAGGGAAAAUACUCAUUAAAGCAAAGAAGCUAUCUUCAAAUUGCCCUGGAGUAGAAGGAGAUGUUACUGAUGAAGAUGAAGGAGCAGAAAUGUCUCAGAGGAUGGGAAAAGAGAACAUGGAACAACCCAACAAUAUGCCUGCGAAGCGAUUUCAGCUUUGCAAAGAAUUGUCUGAACUGGUCAGCAUCUGUAAGUCAGUUCAGUUCAAAGAAUUUCAGGUAUCAUUUCAGGUUCAGAAGUACUGGGAAGUCUGUUCCUUUAAUGAAGUGCUUGCCAGCAAAUAUGCCAAUGAAAAUCCAGGGGACUUUGUAAAUUAUAACAAGCGUUUUCUUGCCAGGGUCUUCCCUAGUCCAAUGAGGAUCGACUCUAGUAACAUGAAUCCUCAAGAUUUUUGGAAAUGUGGUUGUCAAAUUGUAGCCAUGAACUUUCAGACACCAGGACUGAUGAUGGACCUGAAUAUUGGCUGGUUUCGGCAGAAUGGAAACUGUGGCUAUGUCCUUCGUCCAGCUAUCAUGAGGGAAGAAGUGUCCUUCUUCAGUGCCAAUACAAAGGACUCUGUCCCAGGAGUUUCACCUCAGCUCCUUCACAUCAAAAUCAUCAGUGGCCAGAACUUUCCCAAGCCCAAAGGUUCAGGUGCCAAAGGUGAUGUGGUGGAUCCUUACGUCUAUGUAGAAAUCCACGGAAUCCCUGCUGACUGCGCAGAGCAAAGGACAAAAACAGUGCACCAGAAUGGAGAUGCUCCCAUUUUUGAUGAAAGCUUUGAGUUUCAGAUCAACCUCCCUGAACUGGCUAUGGUGCGCUUUGUAGUGCUGGAUGAUGACUACAUUGGGGAUGAAUUUAUUGGUCAGUACACAAUUCCCUUCGAAUGUUUACAGACAGGCUACCGCCACGUCCCCCUGCAAUCCUUGACCGGAGAGGUUCUUGCACAUGCUUCUUUGUUCGUCCAUGUGGCAAUCACUAACCGAAGAGGAGGAGGAAAGCCUCAUAAAAGGGGCCUUUCUGUGCGAAAAGGGAAGAAAUCCAGGGAAUAUGCAUCUCUGAGAACAUUGUGGAUUAAAACUGUAGAUGAGGUGUUCAAGAAUGCCCAGCCCCCCAUACGGGAUGCCACGGAUCUUAGAGAGAAUAUGCAGAAUGCAGUGGUGUCAUUCAAGGAGCUGUGCGGCCUCUCCUCAGUAGCCAAUCUCAUGCAGUGCAUGCUGGCAGUGUCUCCCCGCUUCCUGGGUCCUGAUAACACACCCCUGGUGGUUCUCAAUCUCAGUGAGUCCUACCCCACAAUGGAGCUGCAGGGAAUCGUGCCGGAGGUUCUGAAGAAGAUCGUCACAACUUACGACAUGAUGAUCCAGUCCCUCAAGGCAUUGAUUGAAAAUGCAGAUGCUGUAUAUGAAAAGAUUGUGCAUUGUCAGAAGGCAGCCAUGGAAUUCCAUGAACACUUGCACAGUAUAGGCACCAAAGAGGGUCUGAAGGAACGAAAGCUACAGAAAGCUGUGGAGAGCUUUACCUGGAAUAUUACCAUCUUAAAGUUCCUCUGAAGAUAAGAGAUUUUGAAAAAUGUGAAGAGUCCGUUUUGUUGAGUUCAAAGCUAUGUUUCAGUUACAAACGCCGUUGGUUUAUCUUCUGCUUUGAAAGUCUGUGUGUGAGCUGGGCUCAACUGAAUGGUUUUCCUACUCCGUGUGGUGUUGGCUGGGAUCACUCGUGAGGCGCUGUUCUACUGGGAGCUCAGCUGGACCUGGAAACAGGCUUCAUUCACCAGACUGGCAUCUCAGCUAGGAGGCCAGGGUGGCUGGGCUUCCAUAGCAUCUGUACCACAUCUUAAAGUAAGUAGUUAUAUCCCAAGAUGUCGCCCAGAUGAAUGGCUGCCAAGCUGACUCUCCUGUCCUAUGCCAUUCUACAAGAGGAGACUCUGAAAGUAACUAGAGAUUUGUUCUCUGUUAGGAACACAGGACUUUGGCCAAAAAUAAAUCAAUAAACCAGAUGGUCUUUGAACUGACAUUAGUUUAGAUUUUCUUCAUUUUACCUAAGGUGCAGUGCUUGCUGCAAAGGCUUGAAGGCUGGCAUUUUUUCUUUUUGGAAAAUCACUGUGAUGGCCUUGGAUGAUUCUUUUUCUUAUAAGAAUCAGUUCUCAUAUGUUUUAUUUUGUUUAUUGUAGGUGAUGUAAUAUGUAGCAAGUUUUCCUGAAAAGCUGUACUUGACUGAGAGCCAUUUCUCUAUUUAGUCUGUGAAAAUUCAAGGUAGCUCAAAAAAUCAAACUACAGUAGUGUUCACCAUUAGGCAGACUAUUCUUUCUGAUCCAUUUAAAAGCACAGUAAAACCUCAAACCUUCGGAUCCCACCAAUGUGGAAUUUGUGAUUAGUCAGCUAAUGUUUGAUUAUGCAGAAGGUGUACUUAGAAGAUGACUGGUGCUAAGGAAGUGCUCAUGUACUGUUUCCCCUGAUGUCUUCAGGGAUGUUCCUCUCUGCUCCCUCCUCUCUGGCUCUAGUGCUUUCACCUGGAACCCUUUUCUGAGCUCCUGCCUUCUGUGUUUAUGUUAUGGCCUGUUUGUGUUGUCUAGAGAUAUGAGUGACUGCUCCUGAAACCCCCACCCCACCUCUGCCACCAGAGUGCCUCUUCCACUGAGGGUCCAUAACAGAGGGAAAUACAAAGUCAGAACUUAGGAAGCUUUGUAGUCUUGGCAAUAUACUACCAAAUGCUGUCUGGGCUCCAUUGGCACCAUUUCCUGGAGUCAUGGGCUCUUCAGGGUGGAAGGCAGCACCCUUUACAGCCCCUAGACUUCCCAAUAUCCUUUCCUGCCCUACUGUUGAGGCCUAAAUCAAGCACUACCUUCCCUUUCUCCUCCAUGCUACCUCAGACCCCCCCCCCCAUCUUUUCUGAAGGAAACAUGAAAUUGUUUCUUGGGAGAAUGGCACUCCUUCUGAAUAUAAAUUAAAUUGAAUCUCUUACUGGAAAUUAAAAUUACUGGUGUUUGUACAAACCUUUGGUAAUUUGAGGAAUAACUACAUGUGAUAAGAGCUCAGAUGUGGAAAAAAGUGUGGGGAGAAUCAAGACUCGUGGACUGUCCUCAGAUAGACCCACCAUUAAUUGAGCUGCUGCCUUACACAACUGAACUGUCUCUCUAGAUUAAGAAGGAAAAAGUCAGGGCCAGGAGCCAUGUUUACAGUGUCUUCUUUCCAUUU